AAGUGCUGGGAUCAAAGGCAUGCGCCACCAAGCCUGGUUUUGAUUAAAGAUUGUUAUGGCUAAGAAGCCAUAGAAUGGCUAUGUCUCACUACUCACUCUCCUGUGAUCCUAAAGUUCACAGUUAUGUCCACUUUUAUAGUCAAGAGAAACAGAUUGUGGGUGUGGGUGUGCCACACCAGAUUCCAUUCUAAACAUUUUAUCAUAUGCAAUAUGAUUUUUUUUUAUUGAAAAUUCCAAGAAGUGGGUAUUUAUUUCUCUUUUUUUUCCCCCAACAGAGCAAGACAAAUCCAGAGAGAUGAAGUGACUGACCCAAGGUUACACAGAAUGGAAUCUAUAUCUUCUGAUUUCUCUACUGUAAACCUUCAUAGUAAAAAUGAAGAAAUGAAGUACUAGAAUCAAAUCCAAACUGCCCAGGGAGCUGACAUCCAGAUCUUGCUUCACCACCUCUUGCCUCAGUAUGUGAGUCUGUCUUAGCAAAACUUCCUGUGAGCCUGUGUCAGCUGACAUCAUUCUGUCAAUCGACCUGAGUCCAAGGAAGUGGCAAGAAGCUGCCAGCCCACCACCAGAAGUAUUUUG